GGGAACUACGAGCCAAGCUUAAAACCCAAAGGACUUGACGGUACCCCAUAUCCCCCUAGAGGAGCCUGUCCUAUAAUCGAUAACCCCCGUUUAACCUCACCAUUUCUAGCAACUCAGCCUGUAUACCUCCGUCGUCAGCUUACCACGUGAGCGCUAGUGAGCUCAAUGUUUUUUCAACUAAACGUCAGGUCAAGGUGCAACACAUGAAAUUGGGAAGAGAUGGGCUACACUUUCUAACAAAUAAGAGGUCCAGCCUGCCCAGUGA
rnacentral:rRNA from 1 species